GACGAACGCUGGCGGCGUGCUUAACACAUGCAAGUCGAACGGAAAGGCCCUGCUUUUGUGGGGUGCUCGAGUGGCGAACGGGUGAGUAACACGUGAGUAACCUGCCCUUGACUUUGGGAUAACUUCAGGAAACUGGGGCUAAUACCGGAUAGGAGCUCCUGCUGCAUGGUGGGGGUUGGAAAGUUUCGGCGGUUGGGGAUGGACUCGCGGCUUAUCAGCUUGUUGGUGGGGUAGUGGCUUACCAAGGCUUUGACGGGUAGCCGGCCUGAGAGGGUGACCGGCCACAUUGGGACUGAGAUACGGCCCAGACUCCUACGGGAGGCAGCAGUGGGGAAGAUUGCACAAUGGGCGGAAGCCUGAUGCAGCAACGCCGCGUGCGGGAUGACGGCCUUCGGGUUGUAAACCGCUUUCGCCUGUGACGAAGCGUGAGUGACGGUAAUGGGUAAAGAAGCACCGGCUAACUACGU
rnacentral:rRNA from 1 species